rnacentral:rRNA from 1 species
UACCAGCACCCCGAGUGGUCGGGACGAUUAUUGGGCCUAAAGCAUCCGUAGCCGGUCCUACAAGUCUUCCGUUAAAUCCACCUGCUCAACAGAUGGGCUGCGGAAGAUACUAUAGGGCUAGGAGGCGGGAGAGGCAAGCGGUACUCAGUGGGUAGGGGUAAAAUCCUCUGAUCCAUUGAAGACCACCAGUGGCGAAGGCGGCUUGCCAGAACGCGCUCGACGGUGAGGGAUGAAAGCUAGGGGAGCAAACCGG